UUGUGAGGCUGAUGUGUAGGCAAAUCCGCACAUCGAUAAGGCUGGGCUGUGAUGGGGAGCGAAAAUUGCAGUAGCGAAGGUCAUGAGUUCAGGCUGCCAAGUAAAGCCUCUAGCCAGGUGAAGGUGCCCGUACCGCAAACCGACACAGGUAGGCGAGCAGAGUAUGCUAAGGCGCUCGGAAGAACUCUCGUUAAGGAACUCGGCAAAAUGACCCCGUAACUUCGGGAGAAGGGGUGCCUCGGUAGGGUGAAUAGCCCGAGGGGGCCGCAGUGAAAAGGCCCAAGCGACUGUUUAGCAAAAACACAGGUCUGUGCGAAGCCGUAAGGCGAAGUAUACGGGCUGACGCCUGCCCGGUGCUGGAAGGUUAAGGGGAGUGGUUAGCCGCAAGGCGAAGCUAUGAACCGAAGCCCCAGUAAACGGCGGCCGUAACAAUAACGGUCCUAAGGUAGCGAAAUUCCUUGUCAGGUAAAUUCUGACCCGCACGAAUGGCGUAACGACUUGGGCGCUGUCUCAACGAGAGAUCCGGUGAGAUUUUAAUACCUGUGAAGAUGCAGGUUACCCGCGACAAGACGGAAAGACCCCAUGGAGCUUUACUGCAGCUUGAUAUUGGACUUUGGUACGAUCUGUACAGGAUAGGUGGGAGCCUUGGAAGCCGGAGCGCCAGCUUCGGUGGAGGCAUCGUUGGGAUACCACCCUGAUCGUAUCGGAGUUCUAACCUGGUACCGUGAUCCGGUACAGGGACCGUGUCAGGUGGGCAGUUUGACUGGGGCGGUCGCCUCCUAAAAUGUAACGGAGGCGCCCAAAGGUUCCCUCGGAAUGGUUGGAAAUCAUUCGUAGCGUGCAAAGGCAUAAGGGAGCUUGACUGCGAGACCUACAAGUCGAGCAGGGACGAAAGUCGGGCUUAGUGAUCCGGUGGUACCGCAUGGAAGGGCCAUCGCUCAACGGAUAAAAGCUACCCUGGGGAUAACAGGCUUAUCUCCCCCAAGAGUCCACAUCGACGGGGAGGUUUGGCACCUCGAUGUCGGCUCAUCGCAUCCUGGGGCUGAAGUAGGUCCCAAGGGUUGGGCUGUUCGCCCAUUAAAGCGGUACGCGAGCUGGGUUCAGAACGUCGUGAGACAGUUCGGUCCCUAUCUGUCGUGGGCGUAGGAAAUUUGAGAGGAGCUGUCCUUAGUACGAGAGGACCGGGAUGGACGCACCGCUGGUGUACCAGUUGUUCCGCCAGGAGCAUAGCUGGGUAGCUACGUGCGGACGGGAUAAGCGCUGAAAGCAUCUAAGCGUGAAGCCCCCCUCAAGAUGAGAUUUCCCAGUAUGUAAGACCCCUGGAAGACGACCAGGUUGAUAGGUUCGAGGUGGAAGCGCAGCAAUGCGUGGAGCUGACGAAUACUAAUCGGUCGAGGGCUUAUCC
rnacentral:rRNA from 1 species